rnacentral:rRNA from 1 species
GACGAACGCUGGCGGCGUGCUUAACACAUGCAAGUCGAACGGAAAGGCCCUGCUUUUGUGGGGUGCUCGAGUGGCGAACGGGUGAGUAACACGUGAGUAACCUGCCCUUGACUUUGGGAUAACUUCAGGAAACUGGGGCUAAUACCGGAUAGGGGCUCCUGCUGCAUGGUGGGGGUUGGAAAGUUUCGGCGGUUGGGGAUGGACUCGCGGCUUAUCAGCUUGUUGGUGGGGUAGUGGCUUACCAAGGCUUUGACGGGUAGCCGGCCUGAGAGGGUGACCGGCCACAUUGGGACUGAGAUACGGCCCAGACUCCUACGGGAGGCAGAAGUGGGGAAUAUUGCACAAUGGGCGGAAGCCUGAUGCAGCAACGCCGCGUGCGGGAUGACGGCCUUCGGGUUGUAAACCGCUUUCGCCUGUGACGAAGCGUGAGUGACGGUAAUGGGUAAAGAAGCACCGGCUAACUACGUG